CCUUGGGAUGAGCCUGCGUCUGAUUAGGUAGUUGGCGGAGUAAUAGCCCACCAAGCCUACGAUCAGUAGCUGGUCUGAGAGGAUGAUCAGCCACACUGGAACUGAGACACGGUCCAGACUCCUACGGGAGGCAGCAGUAAGGAAUAUUGCUCAAUGGGGGAAACCCGUGAAGCAGCAACGCCGCGUGAAGGAUGAAAUACUUUUGUAUGUAAACUUCUGUAAGAUGGGAAAAAUAUUCUCCUCGGGAGAAUUGAUUGUACCAUCAGAGUAAGCCCCGGCUAACUACGUG
rnacentral:rRNA from 1 species